GGGUGCUAGAAUGCAGUCGACGCGAAAGCUCCCUUCGGGGAGCAGGUAGAGUGGCGCACGGGUGAGUAACACGUAGGUAAUCUACCUUUGGAUGGGGAAUAACAACCGGAAACGGUUGCUAAUACCGCAUAAUGCAGCGGCACCUAAUGGUGACAGUUGUUAAAGCGGGGGAUCGCAAGACCUCGCGUCUGAAGAGGAGCCUGCGGCAGAUUAGCUAGUUGGUAAGGUAACGGCUUACCAAGGCGAUGAUCUGUAGCCGGCCUGAGAGGGCGGUCGGCCACACUGACACUGACAUACGGGUCAGACUCCUACGGGAGGCAGCAGUUGGGAAUUUUGGGCAAUGGGCGAAAGCCUGACCCAGCAACGCCGCGUGAAGGAUGAAAUCCCUCGGGAUGUAAACUUCGCAAGAACGGGAAGAAUAAGUAAGAGUUAAUAUCUCUUACGAUGACGGUACUGUUUGUAAGCUCCGGCUAACUCCGUGCCAGCAGCCGCGGUAAUACGGGGGGAGCAAGCGUUGUUCGGAUUUACUGGGCGUAAAGGGCGCGUAGGCGGCCUCUGCAAGUCGACUGUGAAAUCUCCGGGCUUAACCCGGAAAGGUCAGCCGAUACUGCAGGGCUAGAGUGCAGAAGGGGCAACUGGAAUUCUCGGUGUAGCGGUGAAAUGCGUAGAUAUCGAGAGGAACACCUGCGGCGAAGGCGGGUUGCUGGGCUGACACUGACGCUGAGGCGCGAAAGCUAGGGGAGCGAACGGGAUUAGAUACCCCGGUAGUCCUAGCCUUAAACGAUGAAUGCUUGGUGUCUGGGGUUUUAUAGUCCCCGGGUGCCGUCGCUAACGCUUUAAGCAUUCCGCCUGGGGAGUACGGUCGCAAGACUGAAACUCAAAGGAAUUGACGGGGACCCGCACAAGCGGUGGAGCAUGUGGUUUAAUUCGACGCAACGCGAAGAACCUUACCUGGGCUAGA
rnacentral:rRNA from 1 species